rnacentral:rRNA from 1 species
CCUACGGGUGGCAGCAGUGGGGAAUAUUGGGCAAUGGGCGCAAGCCUGACCCAGCAACGCCGCGUGAAGGAAGAAGGCUCUCGGGUUGUAAACUUCUUUUAUCAGGGACGAAGCAAGUGACGGUACCUGAUGAAUAAGCCACGGCUAACUACGUGCCAGCAGCCGCGGUAAUACGUAGGUGGCAAGCGUUAUCCGGAUUUACUGGGUGUAAAGGGCGUGUAGGCGGGAAAGCAAGUCAGAUGUGAAAACCAUGGGCUCAACCUGUGGCCUGCAUUUGAAACUGUUUCCCUGGAGUGUCGGAGAGGUAAUCGGAAUUCCUGGUGUAGCGGUGAAAUGCGUAGAUAUAAGGAAGAACACCAGUGGCGAAGGCGGAUUACUGGACGAUAACUGACGGUGAGGCGCGAAAGCGUGGGGAGCAAACAGGAUUAGAUACCCUUGUAGUC